UGGGGUAUCGCCAAGCGGUAAGGCAUCAGACUCUGACUCUGACAUUUCGAAGGUUCGAUCCCUUCUACCCCAGCCA
rnacentral:tRNA from 3 species